CCUACGGGCGGCUGCAGUGGGGAAUAUUGGACAAUGGGGGCAACCCUGAUCCAGCCAUGCCGCGUGUGUGAAGAAGGCCCUCGGGUUGUAAAGCACUUUCAGUGAGGAAGAACGCCUGGUGGUUAAUACCCAUCAGGAAAGACAUCACUCACAGAAGAAGCACCGGCUAACUCCGUGCCAGCAGCCGCGGUAAUACGGAGGGUGCGGGCGUUAAUCGGAAUUACUGGGCGUAAAGCGCGCGUAGGUGGCUUGAUAAGCCGGUUGUGAAAGCCCCGGGCUCAACCUGGGAACGGCAUCCGGAACUGUCAAGCUAGAGUGCAGGAGAGGAAGGUAGAAUUCCCGGUGUAGCGGUGAAAUGCGUAGAGAUCGGGAGGAAUACCAGUGGCGAAGGCGGCCUUCUGGACUGACACUGACACUGAGGUGCGAAAGCGUGGGUAGCAAACAGGAUUAGAUACCCGGGUAGUC
rnacentral:rRNA from 1 species